rnacentral:rRNA from 1 species
UACACUCCUGCGGGAGGCAGCAGUGGGGAAUUUUGGACAAUGGGCGAAAGCCUGAUCCAGCAAUGCCGCGUGAGUGAAGAAGGCCUUCGGGUUGUAAAGCUCUUUUGUCAGGGAAGAAACGGUGAGAGCUAAUAUCUCUUGCUAAUGACGGUACCUGAAGAAUAAGCACCGGCUAACUACGUGCCAGCAGCCGCGGUAAUACGUAGGGUGCAAGCGUUAAUCGGAAUUACUGGGCGUAAAGCGUGCGCAGGCGGUUUUGUAAGUCUGAUGUGAAAUCCCCGGGCUCAACCUGGGAAUUGCAUUGGAGACUGCAAGGCUAGAAUCUGGCAGAGGGGGGUAGAAUUCCACGUGUAGCAGUGAAAUGCGUAGAUAUGUGGAGGAACACCGAUGGCGAAGGCAGCCCCCUGGGUCAAGAUUGACGCUCAUGCACGAAAGCGUGGGGAGCAAACAGGAUUAGAAACCCGGGUAGUCCCA